rnacentral:rRNA from 1 species
AUUGAACGCUGGCGGCAGGCCUAACACAUGCAAGUCGAGCGGAGCGGCGGACGGGUGAGGGAGACCAAGGAAUGGGCCUGGGCGUGGGGGAUGACGUCCGGAAACGGACACUAAUACCGCAUACUAUCGGAUUAGGCUAGGUCGGAUUGGCUAGUUGGUGGGGUAAAGGCCUACCAAGGCGACGAUCCGUAACUGGACUGAGAGGAUGAUCAGUCACACUGGAACUGAGACACGGUCCAGACGCCUACGGGAGGCAGCAGUGGGGAAUAUUGGACAAUGGGCGAAAGCCUGAUCCAGCCAUGCCGCGUGUGUGAAGAAGGCCUUCGGAUUGUAAAGCACUUUAAGUUGGGAGGCGUUACCAACAGAAGAAGCACCGGCUAACUUCGUGCCAGCAGCCGCGGUAAUUC